AUUCAGUUUGAGGUUUAAAAACCCUAAUGCUGACUAAAAGGGAAAAUUCAGUUUAGGGUUUAAAACCCUAAUGCUGACUAAAAGGAAAAUUCAGUUUAGGGUUUAAAACCCUAAUGCUGAUUGCAUGAAAAAGCUCAGUUUAGAGUUUAAAACUCUAAUGCUGGCUGAAAGGAAAGGGUUCAGUUUAGGGUUUAAAACGCUAAUGCUGAUUGCAUGAAAAAGCUCAGUUUAGAGUUUAAAACCCUAAUGCUGACUAAAAGGAAAAAUUCAGUUUAGGGUUUAAAACCCUAAUGCUGACUACAUGGAAAAAGCUCAGUUUAAAGUUUAAAACUCUAAUGCUGGCUGAAAGGAAAAUUCAGUUUAGGGUUUAAAACCCUAAUGCUGAUUGCAUGGAAAAGCUCAGUUUAGAGUUUAAAACUCUAAUGCAGGCUGAAAGGAAAAUUCAGUUUAGGGUUUAAAACCCUAAUGCUGAUGGCAUGGAAGAGCUCAGUUUAGAGUUUAAAACUCUAAUGCUGGCUGAAAGGAAAAUUCAGUUUAGGGUUUAAAACCCUAAUGCUGAUUGCAUGGAAAAGCUCAGUUUAGAGUUUAAAACUCUAAUGCUGGCUGAA
rnacentral:lncRNA from 1 species